CGUCGGGACCCACGCACGCUUCAAAAGCUGUCAGAGAGUGAGUCUGUGGCUAUUGUGCUUUCCGCCUUCCUGCCCUCUUCUAUCUCCCUACAAAAGGGCAGAGACUUGGACGAGGUAUGUUCUAGAAGGAGAUCCUAUCGUGUAUGACACGUACCCACUUGGAAGUCACUCUGCUGUAUGAUGUGAUUCAGCCAUGAAGGACAGUGCGGCUGUGUGACUCUGCUUACAGAAGGUGUCUCUGGCUGCCAAUCUUGGGAAAGCAGAAAAUAGAGUGGUGGCCACCAGAGGCUUUGGAAAAGAGAAGCGGGGACUUGCCAUCGGGUGUAAGGAUGUCUACAGCUGCAGAAGAUGUGAAAUGAGCUUCUCAGUCAAAACCCUAUGGAGGUCAAAGGAGGGUCUCCUGGAUACUCCUAACUAGAGCGACUUAAAGAUGGAGGAUGCUGUCAGCCUAUCUCCACUCCUACCCCCAGCCCCUGCCAGGGCCAGAUGGAGGGCAGUUUUAGGGGAAAUGCCUUGAAUUUUAUGUUUCAUUUCACUGGCUUCCAUACCUCACUGAGAAUGACUGAGUCUGAGCCUCCUCCAAAAGAUGAUCUACCCCUUGGGCACAAGGACUGGAAACAAACUUCUGCCACCAGAGGCUCCAGGCCAUGGAC